rnacentral:rRNA from 1 species
UACGAAGGGGGCUAGCGUUGCUCGGAAUCACUGGGCGUAAAGGGUGCGUAGGCGGGUCUUUAAGUCAGGGGUGAAAUCCUGGAGCUCAACUCCAGAACUGCCUUUGAUACUGAGGACCUUGAGUUCGGGAGAGGUGAGUGGAACUGCGAGUGUAGAGGUGAAAUUCGUAGAUAUUCGCAAGAACACCAGUGGCGAAGGCGGCUCACUGGCCCGAUGCUGACGCUGAGGCACGAAAGCGUGGGGAGCAAACAGG